GGGCCCGUAGUAUAAUGGUAGAACGCCUCUAUGGCAUGGAGGAGGUCCGAGUUCGAUUCUCGGCGGGUCCA
rnacentral:tRNA from 1 species